CCGCUGUCGCCACUAUCUUCCU
rnacentral:miRNA from 1 species